rnacentral:sRNA from 1 species
GCUAGCGACACGGGAGUGGCUAACGCAUCCUCUUGCCGUUCCCGGUGUUUGGGCCUUGCCUGUGACGGUGGGAAAAGAAAAUGGCCUUGCUGUGCUACAACCGGGGCUGCGGUCAGCGCUUCGAUCCUGAGACCAAUUCCGACGAUGCUUGCACAUACCACCCAGGUGUUCCGGUCUUUCACGAUGCAUUAAAGGUAGGAACUAUAUUUUCAUUUUUUUCAUAUCUGUUUUUCUCAGCUAGUGACUCUUCUUAAUGACCUUUGCGGGGGAGGUGCUUUAAGCGUAUACUCCACUAAAGACAAAGAAAAGACAGUAGAUGAUGAUCUUAAGGUCUUUUCCAGUUAUAAAAUUGUAUUUUAAUUCUGGGUUUUUUUUUUUUUUUUUUGAGAUGGAGUUUCACUGUGUUGCCCAGGUGGAGUGCAGUGGUGCGAUCUCAGCUCACUACAACGUCCGCCUCCUGGGUUCAAGCCAUUCUGCCUCAGCCUCCUGAGGAGCCGGGAUUACAGGCGCCUGCCACCAUGCCCAGCUAAUUUU